AUCAGCACAGGCAUAUACAAACAUAGAUGGACUGAAGCAUCAGUUGAAUGAAAGAAGCCCAUGGAAACUACAGGAUUCAGUCAACACAGAGUAAAAAGCAGGUGGACCCCUUCAUCUUCAAGCCAACAACCACAAGUCGAAUCUUCUCCUGCUUCGAAUCUCUGAUUUCCCCUUUCCCAUGACAGCUGGAGAAAGAUCUCUCUUUAGCAGGACCCACACAACUUAGAUUUGGUCCACCUGAUUAGUUAAGGAUACUCUUCACCUUAAGGCAACAACCACUUCCGCCUUUCCUAGGCAAUCAGUGUCAGCCUCCAAGUCUAGACUUAUUGGCAAUAAGGCUACGGGAGAGGAGGUAGAUUUGGAGAAAACCUAAUUCCCACACUGCAUCUGAAUGCAAAAGAUACGGGAGGGACAGCCAGCUCCAGACGCAGCGUCUACCACUGCCUCGCAGGGUCUGACUCUCAGCUUUACUGAUGCCUGUAAAAGAGGAAAAGAACUAUUGCAAGGC
ensembl:lncRNA